rnacentral:rRNA from 1 species
UCGGCCAGCCAUAGCUCCAAGAAUACGCGGAGGAGGUGGCCCGGGUCGGCGUCGGCGCCGUCCGGCGCGGGCCACGGGCCCACUUCCAAGUGCGUCUGCGCGCCGGCCACCCACGUCGGGUCCUUCAAGUGCUGCUUCCACCGCACCAACUCCCAGGGCCACAGCCAGGGCCAGGGAAGCCGCCCUUCUUCGCCCCCUUCACCGGCCGCGGUCAACGCGGUGCUGCGGCACCCGGCCUCACCGUCCUCGUCCUCCGGCACCGUCGCGACCCAGUGA